CCUACGGGAGGCAGCAGUGGGGAAUCUUGCACAAUGGGGGAAACCCUGAUGCAGCGACGCCGCGUGAGUGAAUAAGUAAUUCGGUAUGUAAAGCUCUAUCAGCAGGGAAGAAAAUGACGGUACCUGAAUAACAAGCCCCGGCUAACUACGUGCCAGCAGCCGCGGUAAUACGGAGGCGGCAAGCGUUAUCCGGAUUUACUGGGUGUAAAGGGAGCGUAGACGGCAGUGUAAGUCUGGAGUGAAAGGCGGGGGCUCAACCCCCGGACUGCUCUGGAAACUGUACGGCUGGAGUGCAGGAGAGGUAAGUGGAAUGCCUGGUGUAGCAGUGAAAUGCGUAGAUAUUAGGAGGAACACUAGUGGCGAAGGCGGCUUACUGGACUUUAACUGACGUUGAGGCUCGAAAGCGAGGGGAGCAAACAGGAUUAGAUACCCUGGUAGUC
rnacentral:rRNA from 1 species